CGCGUAGGCGGUUUGUUAAGUCGGAUGUGAAAGCCCCGGGCUCAACCUGGGAACUGCACCCGAUACUGGCCGACUAGAGUACGAGAGAGGGAGGUAGAAUUCCACGUGUAGCGGUGAAAUGCGUAGAUAUGUGGAGGAAUACCGGUGGCGAAGGCGGCCUCCUGGCUCGAUACUGACGCUGAGGUGCGAAAGCGUGGGGAGCAAACAGGAUUAGAUACCUGGUAGUCC
rnacentral:rRNA from 1 species